rnacentral:lncRNA from 9 species
UGUCUGCGACCUAUACCACAGCUCACAGCAACGCCGGAUCCUUAACCCACUGAGCGAGGCCAGGGAUCGAACCUGUAGCUCAUGGUUCCUAGUCGGAUUCAUUAACCACUGAGCCACCAAGGGAACUCCUGAACUAUGCAUUUUAAUGAUGGACAACACAUUGAACAUAUCAUGUGUUGUAGCUUAGCAUCAGUAAAUCAUUUUUAUGUAUGUUUCUUAUAUAUUUUUUGUCACCCUCUACGGAUUACCAUUAGUUUCGAAUGUUAAUAGUGAAGAAAUACGAGCUUUAAAGCUCUGUAGUCGUGUACUUUAUUAUGUCUAAUUUCAUUUGCAUACUGUUUUCUUGAUUCCAUGAUAGCACUAUGACCAUUCUUACAAUUAUCCCAAAUAAAACAAAGUUCUCACAUAUUAGGCACCAUUUCUUCAAGUCCCUCUUCUCACCAAAUUCUCUCUUUCGUCUUGGUUACAUGAAACAUAAUAUAAUUGGUACAAAUAUAGAGACUAUGUACUUAGGGAGUAGAAAGUCCAGGGAAGGGAGUGAUGACAGAACCCAAAUCUUCAAAACCAGUCUUGUGGAAAAGGUUAAUGGAACCCAGUCCAGGUAGACUUAGAGGCAGAACUAGAGCCGAAGGAUUGAAGCCACGAGAACAUAGAUUUCAACCCUAGAAAGGAAAAUUGCUAAUAAGUACAAGUGUUUAAAAGAGAAUUGGCUACCUUGUAGAAUUUCCCAUUACUGGGUAUAUUUAAGCAGAGUUUCAAAGCCUAUUUCCAGGUGUCGAAGCAUCUGUUUUAUGGAAUCUCCGGGCUUUCUGUUCUUCCCCAUGGUCGCACCCGAUCACACUCUGCUCUGAGUUUUGCAUCAUUUGUCUGUCUCCCUGUCUCCACCAGGAACCCCUUGAGGACAGCAACCAUGUCUUACUUAUUUUUGUAUCUCCAUCCCUUAGCACAGUGCUUGUCACAGCGAUGCUCUAUAAAUAUUUGCUGAAUGGAUGAAUGCAUGAAUGGAUGCAGUACAAAAUAAGGUUUCUUAAACUUGUUUUUUCCAAGCUGUGGAACCCGUCCUUCAAGUUGAAGUCUGACAUGGAGGUCUAGUAUGUAAAAGAGAUAAAAAUGUUGUGCUCUGCUUAAGUGGAGUUCUAGGGUCUGGAGACCUGCCCACUUAGUCCUUGAAAGUGCCUCUGUAGAACACAGUUUAAGAAUCACUGAUCUUCAAAGUUGGACUUUGAAGACUUCUUUGAUUUGCUUUUUGAUCUCUAGGUCUUUGAUUUUUAAUCUCUUUAUUUCAAGUUUUCUGUUCAUUUUCAGACUUUUUCUUGUCCUCAGAAUGUUUCCUGAGGUUCAGAGACAGAUGCUAAAGAGGAGAGAGGUCCAUGCUAGUAUUUACCACCCCCACUCCCAGCCCAAUUUUAUAGGUUCUUAAGCUGGAAAGGCUGUAUGACACAUGCCUCAGUUCUUGCUUAAACAUUUUUGCUAUGGGCUUUGAGUUUCAGCGUAUCUUGGGUCCUCAGUGUUCUAGCUUCUGACUCUGACUGUGGUUGAACUGGAAACUUUGUAAGCCCGUGGUCAUUACCUAGCCUGGGAACUUCGAUAUGCCGUGGGUGCGGCCUUAAAAAAGGAAAAAAGACAAAAAAAAAAAAAAAAAAAAAAAAAAAAAGCGAGCAGCAGGGCUUUCAGGGGGCUUUAUGUAUGGCACUGGUCCUCAAAUCGUAAGAUACACAUGUGGAACGUAUGCACAUCUUUGGCAGUGAGGAAAGAAGCAGAGCAGGGGUAGUGAGGAAAGAAGCAGAGCAGGUCCUUGCCCUCCUGCUGCUUGUCUGAGACCAGGUGGUCUUCGGACCAGCGCUUAGACUUGGACCUGUGAUUGAGGUACUACUUUCAGGGCAUCAUGAUUGCAAGUAAAGAGUCUCGGUGGCGCACUGGAAAGGUCAAUCCAGGUUUGUGAAAUCUAGCAUCCAUCUCAACGUUCUCGAGACAGCCCUGAGUUCCAGUGCUCUUAUUCUUUGCCGCAUAGCCAUCUCUUAAAGGUGUACCAUCUUACCUCUGCGAGACGAUUCCGCAGGUUGGUACAAAAGAAGUCUCCUGUCAAGCCAUAUAAACUGAUUUUCCAUCCAGAGAUUGUUCCUGCAGCCACAGCCUAUUAGGAGGCAUCCGGACAAUCUGGUGAAGGCUUUGGGCCCUCCUUCUCCACCAGAUGUGUCACACACAGGGCUGAGUGAAGCCAUCCCUUGUGUAAGGAAGAGUGACAAGUCUUAGGCUCCAUUCUGCUUCCACUUUGUCUUUUGUCUAUUGCUUAAAAUAACUGAAGCUUUAUAUUCCUUUCCUCCAUCCUGCGAAAUGCAGAUGUUUACCCAGUUUCCUUCUUUUGUUGAAUUAACACCCCCUCUCACGGAUGUUUUUGUUUUCAAAACAAAGCCCAACAUUGUAGUUUGAAUGGCUCCCUCUUACAUGAUAACGGUUCUGUUAUUUUACAUAUAUAAUCAAGAUUUCUUUUCACUUUCAAGUUGAAAAUACUCUUGAGAUGUGAAUGCUAAGUAUCCCCUUCCCACCAUCUCCACUGCCCGGGGGAGAAAUGUGGAGAGAAUGUAUGCAGGGCUUGAAAGUUAAGACAAGAAGUUUUGUUUUGUUUUGUUUCUCUUUAGGGCAUAUGGACGUUCCCAGGCUAGGGAUCGAAUCGGAGCUGCAGCUGCCCGCCUACACCACAGCCACAACAAUGCUGGGUCCAAGCCACAUCUGCAACCUGCACCAGAGCGCAUGGCAACACCGGAUCCUUAACCUACUGAGCCAGGCUAGGGAUUGAACCCCCUUCCUCAUGGAUACUAGUCGGAUUUAUUUCUGCUGCACCAUGACAGGAACUCCAACACCAGAAGUAUUUUGUUGAGUGAUCUGCUUAGAAACUGCUAGUUAUCUACCCACCAUCCAUUCAGCAUUCACUCACAAGAAACAUAGUAUUUUUUCCCCCACCUGCCAAUCUGCCUGGAUAAAGAUCUUUAUUUCCCAGAAUUCCUUCAGUGGUUAGUGAGGUUAAGCAGCAGUGCUUGGGUGGGCUUUCAGGAAGGCUCUGUUAGGCAGACUGACUCAGCUGAGAGGCAUGCCUUUUUGGCCCUUUCCUUCUCCCUCCUCUUUCUGCUUGAAAUGUACUCUCUGGAGUCUCACGGCCUCCUUGAGCCUCCAGGAUGAAAGCCACAUAAAAAGAUGAGAUUCAGGACUCCUGGUAUUUGGGGCGCUGACGUGGCCACAUGUAUCACCUACGUCUUUACAGUUGUCCGUGGGGAUCUGUGGGGCAUGGGUUCCAGGACCUCAUAGAUACCACCAUCAGUGGAUGCUCAAGUCCCAGAUAUAAAAUGGUACAGGGCAGUCCGCCUUCUGUAUUCAUGGAUUCUGCAUCUGUGGAUAUAGAGGGUGAGAGGGGUGACUGAUCAACAUCAAUCCUCCGUUGGUUGAAUCCAAGGAUGCAGAAGCCACCGGCUAUGAAGGGCUGACUGUACUUCCUUUAUUUGAGUCAGAAGUAAAUUUCGGACUUGUUUAAGCCACCUGGUUGCGGUGUCUGGAAUAGGUUGUACCAUUUUUUUCUAAUUGGGCCAUGACUAUAAUGCAGAAACAUCUACUCCCACUUCACUGGUCUCUCCUCUUCUCUUCUCCUAACUCGGCUUCCUCCUCUUCUACCUACUACUCGCAUCCAAGGGGACAUCUGCAGAUAGCAAGUGCCUGCCUGAAAAUCCCAUGUGUAGACAGGUCAGGCCAGAGAAUGUGUUCACGGCUCUUCAUGCUGCUUCUUCCUUUGUUCUCCUUUGAACACAGAGCAUUUUCAGGGGCACAGGGACUUUUCACAGCAGCGCACACAGUCACGGUGGGCGAAGUUUAUGGGACAGGGCAGUCGUUUUGCAGGCACGAACCAGUGACGUCUCGAGUCCAGCGCAGGAUGAGUUGAACAGGGUUAGCAUCUCACAUGGGGCAGAAACAUGGUUUCUUUCCCGUGAUGUCUGCAGGAAGUAGACACUUUCCUGCUAGCAGCACUCACCUGGGUGAGUGUUUUAUGGACUAGUGAAGAAGAGAGCAUCCUAUAAGGCUUUGUUAAGAGGAAAGGACCUCUCACCUGCCUUCCUGCAACUUUCUGUGGGUUUGCUGAUGCCACAUUCAACCAAGGGUAAAUUCAAGGAGUGAUCCAGUGAAAAGGGAAGAAAACCUUGAAGGAGCUUGAUGGACAUAAAUUGGGAUGAUGGCGUGAGUUACUCAGGCAUAAAACCCUCUUUUUAGGUACAGGAAUACAACAGAGAGAAACAAGACAACCUGGUCCCUUUCUCUGCCACUUGCCCCUGCUGGAAGGAAUGAUGCUGUCCCAUGCACACUCUGUCAUGAUGCUGUCACCGUCGGCCACUGUCAGGAUGCUUGGUGUCGAGGUCUUACGUAACCUUCCCUCUCAGCAACCUAACCCCUGCCAGCACAGACUGUUCCCUUUCUGAGCACCAAAGCCCUGGGCCUGCUUGCAGAGAGUAAUUGCAAGGUAGAUUAUAAUUGUUGAUAAUAAACACAGUACAUUGGGUACAAACUGGGCUAGGAAAGAGGGUCAUAAAAAGAAAUCUGUGAUGAUAGGGGUUUGUAAGUUUAAUGACUAUUCUAACAAGAUAAAGCUUUUAUUAAUUACAAAUGAAUCUCAUCCUCUUUCUCUUUCUCUGUCUCAUAUUAAAAAACUUUACUUGACAUAGGUUCUUCGUUUUAGAAGAAGCGUGUGUGUGUGUGUCUGUGUGUGUCUGUGUGUCUGUGUGUGUGUGUGUAUUUUGAAGGCAACAUCAACAGCUUGGAAGUGGUCCAGAGAAAAGUAAAUGCUGUUAUCAGUAGGUUGGAAAAUCAAGCCUGUAACAGAAGGUUAAAGGAGCUGAUUGCAUUUAGUCUGGAGUAGAGAUGAUGUAAUAAUUAUUAAAAAUCUGUUAUUAAGGAGGACAUUGAUUAACAUUCUCCUCAUAGAAGACAUAAAUAAAAGGAAUUGUUUAAACUCCACUACUGUACAGCACAGGGAACUAUAGCUAGUCCCUUGGGUUAGACCAUGAUGGAAGAUCAUAUGAGAAAGAGAAUGUGCAUAUAGAUGUGUGUUGUGUGUGUGCAUACAUGUAUAUAUGACUGGGUCACUUUGCACAACCUUGUAAAUCAAGUAUACUUUAAUAAAAUUUUAAAAAAUAAAAAAACAGACUUGAAAAGAAGAGAGGGAUUUAUAUUAAAUAUUGGGAAGCAUUUCUUGAAAGUGAGCAUCAUUAAAGAAAAGAAUGUCACCAACUAUAACCAGUUGUUGAGGAAGGCGAGGGAAUCUGUGUCUCAGGAUAUUAGUGUAAUGGGCAUAGGACAGGCUCUGAACCCAGAUCUGCUUUUGAGUCUUAGUUCUGGCUUCAGUUAACAUGAAAAAAUUCUCUUUAAAAUUCUUCCACUCUGUAGGAUUUUCGGGGGAUUAUGGAACAUAGUAUUUGGACAAGCAUUUAGGUGAUAAGGUGCUAAAUAAACAUGAUUCUCCCCCUCCCCUUAACUUCCAAACUAUUAUUGGUUUGAGAUUUUACAGCAUAAGGUUUAGGCAAUAUAUUCUUGUCAGUACUGACGGCUUUUCUUUGUUUUGCAAAGGAUUUUGCUUUUAUAGAAAAGUGGGUCCUAGCAUUUUGUGGCAGGUGAUUAUUAUUAUUGGGUUUUACAAAGCCCUAACUGGUGUGUGUGUGUGUGUGUGUGUGUGUAUUCAUACCAACUCCACUAACAAAACAGUAUAAGAAGGUAUUUCAAGAUCAAGGUCAAGAAAAAUAAAGUGUUAUAAGUCACAGAAAGAAAUCACUGGUCUCAUGCUGUAUGCUGAGGUACAGUAUUAAUUUCCCUUUUUUUUUUUUUAAAAGGGCUGCAGCCACGGCAUAUGGAAGUUUCCAGGCUAAGGGUCGAAUCUGAAUUGCAACUGCUGGCCUACACCAGAGCCACAGCAACGUGGCAUCUGAGCCACGUCUGCGACCUACACCACAGCUCAUGGCAACGCGGAAUCCUUAACCCACUGAGCGAGGCCAGGGAUCAAACCUGCAACCUCAUGGAUCCUAGUCAGAUUCGUUUCCAUUGUGCCACGACGGGGACUCCCUAAUUUCCCCUGUUUCGCUGUAACUGGAUCUGUUCACAUGACUGGGUUUAUUGUAACUUUAUCAACUCUUUGGGGGAAAUCUCCAUAGAGCAGGAAUACUGCUCUGAGCCCAAACCACCAUCAUUGGCUCCCUCUCAUUGGUGCCUAGUUUGUUUAGGGGGGUGCGUGUGUUCUGAAGCUGCUGUGCCCGCCUUGGCUGUAACCUCAAGGUCCUAAUCAAAUGGAACAGCUUGUGCUUUUCUUUCACCUAAUGGUUUUUAAGCAUGUGCAGGUGUUAAACUAGUGUUGGUUUUCUGGGGCAACAGGGGACAGGUAGCAGUUACAGCAUCACAACCCAAACAACCUAGAAUAGAACUGAGACCUUCCUUUUCCUAAUGUUCCUCAGCCCCUCCAUCAAGAGGAAUUUUUUUACAAGUCACCCUUGUUCAGGCGCAUGCCACUCCAAGUCUCUCUACGCUUCAAAUUCAGUUUCUCUCCCUUUUUAUGCAGACUCGUCUAGCACAACCCACUCGUGGGCUCCACGCCUGCCUCUGUCUAAGGAUUCAUUGCUACCUUGCCAGGCGAAAGGGCCAUGCAUUCUCUACCAGUAUAGCAGAGCCGUCGGCGGUGGCUUUGGAAUUAUAGCCUUCUCUCUCCCUUCUCUGUCCCAUCUCCUCCCCUCUGCCCAGAUUCUGAAAGUGCAGAAGAUUAGUGGAGAAUACAUCAUUUUUCCUCCGCAAUAGGAAUUUUGACUUUCUUGUUAGACAGCAGAAGUAGCUGCCAUUAGUUUGAAUUUUAAAUAUAUUUAGUCUUUGGGCAAAACGAGUAGCAAAGCAUUAUUAUUAUUAUUAUUAUUAGCAUUAUAAUUAAGACACAUAAUAGGAACCACAGGAUACCAAAAGAGGUGUAUAACCUCCUUUCUUUCUGAUAAAUGAACAUUAGUAUGGAAUUAAACCAGUAGCACUCUGACAUUAACCAUAGGAGGUGGUGGCAGGUCUGGGCUGUGUUUACUUUUGAGGACAAAUCCUUGAAUAAGGCAAUGAUUGAGCAUCAAGCCUCAUUUUUCGCUCAUCGGUGGUGCUCGGUGGAGCAUGCAGUGAGCUGGAGACAUACAGUGCUCAGGCAGACACAAGCAGAGAGAAUUCAGACCAAAUGAGACUAUGAUAAUUGACGUGCCGUCACACCACCCGAGUAACCCAAAGGUGUGUCUGAAGAAUGGGUGUGCUGAAUGUGGAUGGACCUGGAAGGCAUUGUGCUCAGUGAAAUAAGCCAGAGAAAGACAAAUACUUCAUGAUAUCACUUAUAUGUCAAUCUGAAAAAUAGAACUAGUGAAUAUAGGAGUUCCUGUUGUGGCUCAUCGGGUUAAGGACUGGGCGUUGUCUCUGUAAGGAUGUGGGUUCAAUCCCUGGCCUCUCGUAGUGGGUUAAGGAUCUGGCGUUGUCACAAGCUGCCAUGUAGGUCGCAGAUGUGGCUUGGAUCUGGUGUUGGCUGUGGCUCUGCUGUAGUCUGGCAGCUGCAGCUCCAAUUCAAACUCUAGCUUGGGAACUUCCGUAUGCUGCAGGUGUAGCUGUAAAAAAAAAAAAAAAAAAAAA